GAAACCAACCGGGAUUGCCUUAGUAACGGCGAGUGAAGCGGCAAAAGCUCAAAUUUGAAAUCUGGUACCUUCGGUGCCCGAGUUGUAAUUUGGAGAGGGCAACUUUGGGGCCGUUCCUUGUCUAUGUUCCUUGGAACAGGACGUCAUAGAGGGUGAGAAUCCCGUGUGGCGAGGAGUGCGGUUCUUUGUAAAGUGCCUUCGAAGAGUCGAGUUGUUUGGGAAUGCAGCUCUAAGUGGGUGGUAAAUUCCAUCUAAAGCUAAAUAUUGGCGAGAGACCGAUAGCGAACAAGUACAGUGAUGGAAAGAUGAAAAGAACUUUGAAAAGAGAGUGAAAAAGUACGUGAAAUUGUUGAAAGGGAAGGGCAUUUGAUCAGACAUGGUGUUUUGUGCCCUCUGCUCCUUGUGGGUAGGGGAAUCUCGCAUUUCACUGGGCCAGCAUCAGUUUUGGUGGCAGGAUAAAUCCAUAGGAAUGUAGCUUGCCUCGGUAAGUAUUAUAGCCUGUGGGAAUACUGCCAGCUGGGACUGAGGACUGCGACGUAAGUCAAGGAUGCUGGCAUAAUGGUUAUAUGCCGCCCGUCU
rnacentral:rRNA from 1 species